rnacentral:rRNA from 1 species
AGUGAACGCUGGCGGUAGGCCUAACUCAUGCAAGUCGAACGGCAGCACAGUAAGAGCUUGCUCUUACGGGUGGCGAGUGACGGACGGGUGAGGAAUACAUCGGAAUCUACUUUUUCGUGGGGGAUAACGUAGGGAAACUUACGCUAAUACCGCAUACGACCUACGGGUGAAAGCAGGGGAUCUUCGGACCUUGCGCGAUUGAAUGAGCCGAUGUCGGAUUAGCUAGUUGGCGGGGUAAAGGCCCACCAAGGCGACGAUCCGUAGCUGGUCUGAGAGGAUGAUCAGCCACACUGGAACUGAGACACGGUCCAGACUCCUACGGGAGGCAGCAGUGGGGAAUAUUGGACAAUGGGCGCAAGCCUGAUCCAGCCAUACCGCGUGGGUGAAGAAGGCCUUCGGGUUGUAAAGCCCUUUUGUUGGGAAAGAAAAGCAGCAGGUUAAUACCCCGCUGUUCUGACGGUACCCAAAGAAUAAGCACCGGCUAACUUCGUG